AAAAAAAAAAAGGAUUUAUCAUGUUAAAAUCAAUACAACAUUAUCAUGUCUCGAAAGAAACUAGAAAAGUCAAACAUAAAACUGUUACAUGAAGAGGCAUCGUUGAGAAAUUAUUUUCUUCAAAUCACCAAACUAAAGGUAAUGUAGUAAUAGUUAGUACACAAAGAAACCAGUCCUACUGACACACAUUUCAGCACAACGGCCUAUUAACUGCCUCAAAAAUUUGCUGCAAGUAUAGGCAAAAAUAACAAUAGAAAUCAGCCUCCUAAAUGGCAGGAUUAAAAGUACGAGUUGAGAUAAUAAAUAUUCAUUUAGGAUGCAAU
rnacentral:misc_RNA from 1 species